UACGUAGGGUGCAAGCGUUAAUCGGAAUUACUGGGCGUAAAGCGUGCGCAGGCGGCUAUGCAAGACAGAUGUGAAAUCCCCGGGCUCAACCUGGGAACUGCAUUUGUGACUGCAUGGCUAGAGUACGGCAGAGGGGGAUGGAAUUCCGCGUGUAGCAGUGAAAUGCGUAGAUAUGCGGAGGAACACCGAUGGCGAAGGCAAUCCCCUGGGCCUGUACUGACGCUUAUGCACGAAAGCGUGGGGAGCAAACAGG
rnacentral:rRNA from 1 species